GGCGUGAUGGCCGAGCGGUCUAAGGCGGCGUCUUUAGGCGGCGUUCUUCGGGCGUGGGUUCGAAUCCCACUCACGUCA
rnacentral:tRNA from 1 species